rnacentral:rRNA from 1 species
CCUACGGGCGGCAGCAGUGAGGAAUAUUGGUCCAUGGACGAGAGUCUGAACCAGCCAAGUAGCGUGAAGGAUGACUGCCCUAUGGGUUUUAAACUUCUUUUAUAUGGGAAUAAAAGGUUCACCGUGUGGGAUUUCGUAUGUACCAUAUGAAUAAGGAUCGGCGUACUCCCUGCCAGCAGCAGCGGUAAUACGGAGAAUCCGAGCGUUAUCCGGUUUUAUUUGGUUUAAGGGGAGCGUAGGUGGAUGGUUAAGUCAGUUGUGAAAGUUUGCGGUUCAACCGUAAAAUUGCAGUUGAAACUGGCAGUCUUGAGUACAGUAGAGGUGGGCGGAAUGCGUGGUGUAGCGGUGAAAUGCUUAGAUAUCACGAAGAACUCCGAGUGCGAAGGCAGCUCACUGGACUGCAACUGACACUGAGGCUCGAAAGCGUGGGUAUCAAACAGGAUUAGAUACCCCAGUAGUC